UUCCGGUUGAUCCUGCCGGAGGCUACCGCUAUUGGAGUUCGAUUAAGCCAUGCGAGUCGCGAGUCUUAGGGACUCGGCGUACCGCUCAGUAACACGUGGGUAACCUGCCCUAUGCUGGGGGAUAACCUCGGGAAACUGAGAAUAAUACCCCAUAGUUCACCACGCCUGGAACGGUGGGUGGAUCAAAGCUCCGGCGGCAUAGGAUGGGCCUGCGGCGUAUCAGGUUGUAGGGGGUGUAAUGUACCCUCUAGCCCUCUACGCGUACGGGUGUUGAGAGACAUCGCCCGGAGAUGGAUUCUGAGACACGAAUCCAGACCCUACGGGGUGCAGCAGGCGCGAAAACUUGGCAAUGCGAGAAAUCGUGACCAGGGAACUCCAAGUGCAUCGGGUAAGACCGAUGCUUUUCUUGACUCUUCAAAGGUCUUGGAAUAAGGGGUGGGUAAGGACGGUGCCAGCCGCCGCGGUAAUACCGGCGCCCCAAGUGGUAGUCGCUUUUAUUGGGCCUAAAACGUCCGUAGCCGGUCUGGUACAUUCGUGGGUAAAUCAACCAGCUCAACUGGUUGAAUUCUGCGAGCACGGCCAGACUUGGGACCGGGAGAGGUGUGGGGUACUCUCAGGGUAGGGGUAAAAUCCUGUCAUCCUGAGAGGACCACCUGUUGCGAAGGCGCCACACUAGAACGGAUCCGACGGUCAGGGACGAAGCCUAGGGGCACGAACCGGAUUAGAUACCCGGGUAGUCCUAGGUGUAAACGCUGUGGACUUGAUGUUGGGGGCGCUCCGAGCGCACUCAGUGUCGAAGCGAAGGUGAUAAGUCCACUGCCUGGGGAGUACGGUCGCAAGGCUGAAACUUAAAGGAAUUGGCGGGGGAGCACCGCAACCUGAGGAUUGUGCGGUUUAAUUGGAGUCAACGCCGGA
rnacentral:rRNA from 2 species